GGGACAAGCCCUGGAAACGGGGUCUAAUACCGGAUACUGAUCCUCGCAGGCAUCUGCCAGGUUCGAAAGCUCCGGCGGUGCAGGAUGAGCCCGCGGCCUAUCAGCUAGUUGGUGAGGUAACGGCUCACCAAGGCGACGACGGGUAGCCGGCCUGAAAGGGCGACCGGCCACACUGGGACUGAGACACGGCCCAGACUCCUACGGGAGGCAGCAGUGGGGAAUAUUGCACAAUGGGCGAAAGCCUGAUGCAGCGACGCCGCGUGAGGGAUGACGGCCUUCGGGUUGUAAACCUCUUUCAGCAGGGAAGAAGCGAAAGUGACGGUACCUGCAGAAGAAGCGCCGGCUAACUACGUGCCAGCAGCCGCGGUAAUACGUAGGGCGCAAGCGUUGUCCGGAAUUAUUGGGCGUAAAGAGCUCGUAGGCGGCUUGUCACGUCGGUUGUGAAAGCCCGGGGCUUAGCCCCGGGUCUGCAGUCGAUACGGGCAGGCUAGAGUUCGGUAGGGGAGAUCGGAAUUCCUGGUGUAGCGGUGAAAUGCGCAGAUAUCAGGAGGAACACCGGUGGCGAAGGCGGAUCUCUGGGCCGAUACUGACGCUGAGGAG
rnacentral:rRNA from 1 species